GUCAAGGUAACGAUCUUUUUAAUUGGGCUCCUACAAUAAGGCAGACCUACAUGCGCAGGAUAGAAAUGACUUAUACGGAAAAGGGGCAUUUGCUUACACAAGAAUCAUGUGAAUCAUCUUAAAAUGUAGGGGUUUCAUAUUCCACUAGACAUAUGCACUAGAGGACAAAGACUUGAACAAGAGACUUGUCCCCCAAGCGCAAGCAGUGUAAUGUCAAAAACUUUACUCAAGACAAGAAAUGUAAAAGGUAUGUUAUCAAUCCGGUGAGAAAGUGUAAUUUUGCGCAACUUCCCCGCGACAGUUUUUUUUACAAACUCGGUAAAAGAAAUCCAAUGCUGAGCGUUCACUGGGGCAUACAUGCACACUGUUCGACAGAACAUUCUAGAACACUCUGGAUAUCAGAGAGAAGACAUGCCUAGUUGAUUUUUAGUUCCGCUACAAGCCAAACUCGAACACCUAGUGCUAGGCUUCCUGUGUGUAUUUUUUAAAGUAAUUGGGAUUCCGUUUUUAGUGCCGGUUGUUUUUGCAAUUUGUUUUGCUCAAAAGGGACUAGAAGUGAUUAGAAAGUUGCUUGAGUGGUGGUGUAACUGAGACGUCUUUUUCUUUUGCAGUAUUGCCUCAGGAAUUUCUAUUUCAAAAUGUGUAAAACUAGAAAAAUUGCGUAUUAUACUUGCACAUGUCUUAGCUAAAACGACUACAUUGUCACUGCAAAAUUUAAGUUUAAAAUCAUUUAUAUCGAACUUCGGAAUAACCAGAU